rnacentral:lncRNA from 1 species
AUUACAAGAACCCCUAUGCUACUUUUAAGAUCCAAUCAGUAAAAUAGAAGAUCAUUGUGGGAAGACCAUUUUGGCUAAUUACACAAAAUAACAAAACACUACCCAGAUAAUUAUUAAGCUAAAUUUCCAAACUUUGGGGCAACCCAUUUAGACGAAUCAACAGAAUAAUAAUUGGGAAUACCAAUUUCUAAGUAUUUUAUGCAAUUUCUCAGUUUUAGGGUUGCUUACUUUACCUGCCUGGGCUGCGAGAGAGAGUGAGAGGAUGAGAGUGGUGCGGCGGAUUUGAGAGCAGCCUAAGAUUGAGCAGCUAAGAGUGGGAGCCUUAGAUUAGAUCGGUUGGGCGGUGGACGGCGGGCGAUGGCUAGAGAAAGAGAACGAGAGAGAUGAACAAGACAGAGACAGAGACGAGAGAGAGAGAAACAAAAACGAAAACGCGUGUCCAGCUUCUUUCUUUUUCUUUUGUUUCUUUUAUUAAAUUACAAAAAAAAAAAAAAUUGGGGGUGGGGCAGCCCGGGCACGUGCCAGGGCAUGCGGGCGGCAUCUCCGCCACUGAGAGAGAAGACAAAACAGUUUUUAUUUUAUUUUUAAGAAAAAAGUAUCAUUAUUUAUGUGCUGUCAAAGUGUGAUUGGAUGUGCCUAAAUUUCAUGUGUUGGGUAUGUUUAUU